UAAUUCAAAUAUUGCACUAUAAACCUUUCCAAUGACCACACUUAACAAUGAGCGCAAGAAGAAAUGUUCUUCUUGCUUCAAAACUAUUCAAAAAACACAAAAAUCAAUUGAAUGUCUCACAUGUAUGAAUCGGUUUCAUGCUGUGUCUGCAUGCACAAAAUCAUUCAACUCCUACAUAGGUAACAAUACGAUUGACUUGUGCCAAAAUUGCUUAGCUGAAUCUUUACCCUUCCAAACACUCGAUGAUUUAGAAUUUGAAUUUACGGUUUUAAAAGGAAUUAAUGUGAGGAAAGAUGAAAUGGAUAGACUAAGGCAUUUGAAAUUCAACCCUUUCGACACGAAUAAUAAUAUUGCGUUAUCGGAAAACAAUGCAAAUCUCGAUAAAUCGUCAAAAAUAAACUGUGAAUAUUAUCUACCAACUGAUUUUAAAGAACAAAUAAAUGAAACAAAC